GUGCAAGGAGUAGAGAUGAGCAUUCUAUGGUUUUUCCCACAGAUGACACAGAACCUGAAUUACAAGCUCACAUCACAUCUCUUAUAAUGUGUAAACUUGCAACCACUUAUCCUCAGCCUCCUCCAUGCUGUGUUGCAAAGAGAAAGUUCCAGAAUGUCUUGGAAGGCAUGGACGUCAGUGAUGUGUUAGAAUUGUAAGCUUACUGUCAAAGGUUCUAAACCAAGAAGAAGAGAAUAAUCUAGCAGUGUUUUCCUUCAUAUGUUGUAUUUAUAAGGGUUUUUUAAAAAUUAAACAUAGUGACUUGUGUGGGUGCUUAAAAAAACCCACCAGAGGCAAAGCAAUUUGAUGUCAACGGUACUUCCAAAUUCACUGAAUAUAGCUCAAAUCACUCUUUGCUCUUAAUUGAAUUGAUAUCCAUCUGGAACAACUGCACUAUCACGUGGAAGUCAUAAAGAGGCUGUGUACGUCCUGACUGCAGGACUUCUGGUAACACAAAGGACCUAAGCAGUCCUCAGUGGAUAACUGUGAAAAGUUUAGAAUUUGCAUAAUCAGUUGCUUCAAUUUCUUACCUUUAGGUUUUCCUCCUGAGUUUACUUAACCAUGUGCCAAAUAUCCACCAAAGAUUUGAUAACCCCCAAAAAGGCCUAAGAAAGGAAACAUCGUAAAAUAUCAUGGCUGUAUAUUUGUGCUUUAUUCCCUUCAACGGCCUCCUGAAGCUCACAACGUCUACCAAAACCCACACUUCUAUAUGCACAGAGCCUCAGCUCUGCAUAAACACGAUUCUCCUUCUUUUGAAUUUGUAUGAGCUUUUGCAGACUGAAUUUCAGUCCCCGAAGUGACACCAUAGUGCCAUCGUUCUCUCUUCUUUGAAGCAUCUGAAGUCCUCUUUCGGUCACUUAAAAGUCUCUUAAAAAGCCCUGAGGAGUGAAUUAAUGCCUCCUUCAGUGCACCCCUUUGCUGAAACUGCGAAUGGCAGUAAGAAGUGGUUCGGGUGUUCGUGUCCAGUGGAUUACGAGCAGAGCCAGGAAUAGGGAAAUGUUUUCUAAUCUUUGUAUGGCUGCUAAUUCAUUUAAUGGCAUCAAGCAGAUUUCUUAAUCUCAUUACAUCAUAGUUACUCCAUGUUUGAAAUAAGGUUGAUGAAUAUCCAGCAUUGUUCAUCAUCUUGCGAUCUGCAGCUAUAGAAUAACAACGUAGGCAGACUGGGGAUGACAGAUGAUUCAAAUAGUGUUUUGUGAUCCUGGCCUAUGGCAAAAAUGUAUGUUGCCAGGAUAGCAUACUCAAUACCAAAGCAGUUGCUAAGUAAACAAUGUGGAUUAUGAAAUAACUAAUACUUAAUUAAAAACGGUGUUAAGAUUUAUGAAGUCCACCAAAAGACCUCCCUAGAGACUUUCUCAGCUUCUUGUCUGGAAAAUAUUUUAAAUUUAUUGUUAUCAUCACCCUAAUUAUUUUCAUGAUUCCAGAGUCCUAUUCAGGAUUUAUGUACUGAAAAGAAGAACUAUGUUAUCUAGGUAGGUCUUCAGAAAUUGGCUUCUUCUUGUUGGUUACUCAACAUGUGUGGUUAUUUUGGGGCUGUUAGGGCCUGGUGAUAAAUGUAAAAAAGCUGCCUAUCGUGCAUUCAUCCCUGCCUUAGCUGGGUACUGAUUAGAUUGGCUUUUCAUUGUGCUCCCAGAACAUCGUUUUAUUAAAGCUUUUUGUCAUGACAUGAGACUCACUGUAUUCAUGGAUAAGGCUUAUUCAAGGGAGUGUGACUUAAGGGGCUGGGCCCAAAGCUAGCCAGGACACUGAGGUUAUGUAGCUUUGGAAAGAAGCAGGACACUAUCAGCGAGCAUGGAAAAUAGGUCCUAAACAUAGAACCAGUGGCAGUCUAUUUGAAGACAAUCCUUCUGCAAUGAAACGUGAUCCAGAUUGGUGUCAGGGGACUAUUUGCUAUUCACUGACAUUAACGUCAACUCACAGCUGGUAUUCUUGAGGAUCAGGAGUUUUGUAUUAAACUGGAGGAGAAUGGAUGCAUUCCUGUUUCCAGGCCUUCAAACACUGCAGCUGGGGCCCAUGUUGCAUGCCCUCUUGUCUGCUGCUACUCCUGCCCCCAGCAGACCCAUAUGGAGCAGUGGUGGCCUUGCAGGUGCUUCCCUCAGAGCAGUAUCUCCAAUAUCUACUGCACUGCUGCUGCCCGUGCAGCUCACCGGGCAGAUGAGGCCCUGCCAGCAGCAGCAUGCCAGGCUGUUGCUGGCAAAGCUGGGCGCUCCUGGCCAAGCCUGGGGCAUCUGCAGGGCUCUUUCCGCCUGGACAAACCCUUGCAAGGUUUGCAAGAUGGAGUGUGGGCCUUCACAUAUACCCAUAGUGAAGUAAUUCCUCUCUUUAAUGUAAACCUCUGUAUGAUACAGCAUUUGUCUCUUUAACCUGGCACAUGCCUUUAUAAACACACCUUUGUUUUUUUGCAUGGAGACGUAUUGCCAACAUCGUCAAGUUCCAUCUAAGAAAAUACAAAGCCCAUUAGAAUGAUAUUCAUUUUAUGCACACUUACUUACACCUUAAACCAUACCAAAUGUAUGAGCCUUAGGGAUACGUAGUGAAUUUUUCACCCAAAGCUCAGUUAUUUUCAAUUCAACUGAUGAAUUGAGUGUACUGACUUCAAGGUCACAGGGCAUGUUGGUUGGAUGGCUAAAAUUCUUCAGAAAGGGCUUUGUGUAUCCCUCCCCAAGAGGAAAGAAAACAAAACUCAUCCCAGUGAUUGUCUGCUAAGUUCCCAGCUUUUCUG
ensembl:lncRNA